CGGCGGAGGAGGGGACGGCCGAGGGCCAGGGCGGGAGAAGUUGAGGCGCGGGGGGACCCGCCCGCCAAACUUUCUCGGGUCGGGCGGGUGCGAAGCUCCCCCCCGCCGGCCCCGCAUCGGCUUCAUCGUCGCUUCCCUGGUGCCCGCGGACGGACUUCACCUGGCGGCGGCUGCCCUUCCCGGCACAUGGGGUUGACCUGCGCGAGGAGCCGAGCCGAAACGUGACCCCCCCCCAGCUUCGGCGCGCGGGAGUUCAAGCGACCCGGCGGCCCCCCCCGCUCCCGGUAGCAGCUCGGCAUCCGGAGGGGAAACCGGAGUCGUGCUGAUUUUUUGCGAUGCUCUGAAAAGAAACCCUUCGGGGCGCGACACCCGAAAAUGCGGGACCCGCGCUGACGCCGGGGACGACGCGCCGCUGCGGACAUGUGCGUGGAGACCCGCGCGGAUGCGGUGUCCGGCUCCCGCCCAAAACGUCCGGCCCUCGGGCGCGGACCCGCCGGGAGGUGCGGAGGAGCGGCUCGCAGGGGCCUCGGGGAGGCGAUCAUGGCCGGAGGGAAGGUGGCUGGAGACAGCGCGGCCCCGAGGGAGGAUGACUGGGGCGAGCGAGCGGCGAGAAAGUUCAACUUCGGCGGCUUCCCCUGCCGGGGACGGUGGGCGUUUCUGGUGCUGCAGCUCCACAUGUUGCAAGCGCUGGCACAAGAUAUAUCCCACCAGGACUAACAGUGCUGCAUGGAGUACAGAGAACAGCUUCUCACCUAUACAUUACACUCCACCUUAUAAACUCAUUUCACAGGAUAUUCUUCUUCUGAGAUGUCAGUGAACAUUUUUUCAUUAAAUAAAAUGAUAAAAUGCAUUUUGCUCUUAAAUUUG
ensembl:lncRNA